GGAUAAGAUUGUCCUCUAGAACCUGAGCAAGAUGUCAUGUAGGCCUGGACAAAAUGUCCUGUACAAGUUGUCCUCUGGAACCUGGACAUGAUGCCCUGUAGGUCCUGAAGAAGAUGUCCUGUAGGUACAGGACAUGAUGUCAUGUAGGUCCUGGACAUGAAUUGUCCUCUGGAACCUGGACAAGAUGUCCUCUAGAACCCGGACAAGAUGUUCUGUAGAACCUGGACAAGAUGUCCUGUAGGCCCUGGACAAGA
rnacentral:lncRNA from 1 species